NNNCCCAUAGCUUAGCCCAAAGCAUGGCACUGAAGAUGCCAAGACGGUGACCACACUCCCUCCCUGGGAGC
rnacentral:tRNA from 1 species